CCGAUAUAGCUCAGUUGGUAGAGCAACUCAUUCGUAAUGAGUAGGUCGCGGGUUCGAAUCCCACUAUCGG
rnacentral:tRNA from 1 species